GAUGAAGAACGCAGCGAAAUGCGAUAAGUAGUGUGAAUUGCAGAAUUCAGUGAAUCAUCGAAUCUUUGAACGCACAUUGCGCCCCUUGGUAUUCCAUGGGGCAUGCCUGUUCGAGCGUCAUUUGUACUUUCAAGCUUUGCUUGGUGUUGGGUGUUUGUCUCGCCUUUGCGUGUAGACUCGCCUUAAAAUAAUUGGCAGCCGGCGUAUUGAUUUCGGAGCGCAGUACAUCUCGCGCUUUGCACUCAUAACGACAGCGUCCAAAAGUACAUUUUACACUCUUGACCUCGGAUCAGGUAGGGAUACCCGCUGAACUUAAGCAUAUCAAUAAGCGGAGGA
rnacentral:misc_RNA from 1 species